UUGGAGGGCAAGUCUGGUGCCAGCAGCCGCGGUAAUUCCAGCUCCAAUAGCGUAUAUUAAAGUUGCUGCAGUUAAAAAGCUCGUAGUUGAAUUUCGGGACCAUCAUGUCGGUCGUGCCUCGGUACGUACUGGUAUUGUUGGUUUCUCCCUUCUGAUGAACCAUGAUGUCAUUUAUUUGGUGUUGUGGGGAAUCAGGACUGUUACUUUGAAAAAAUUAGAGUGUUUAAAGCAGGCUCACGCUUGAAUACAUUAGCAUGGAAUAAUGAAAUAGGACGUUUGAUUCUAUUUUGUUGGUUUCUAGGAUCGACGUAAUGAUUAAUAGGGAUAGUUGGGGGCAUUAGUAUUCAAUUGUCAGAGGUGAAAUUCUUGGAUUUAUUGAAGACUAACUACUGCGAAAGCAUUUGCCAAGGAUGUUUUCAUUAAUCAAGAACGAAAGUUAGGGGAUCGAAGACGAUCAGAUACCGUCGUAGUCUUAACCAUAAACUAUGCCGACUAGGGAUCGGACGAUGUUAAUUUUUUAAUGACUCGUUCGGCGCCUUACGGGAAAC
rnacentral:rRNA from 1 species